GUCCUAGCCGUAAACGAUGGAUACUAAGUGCUGUGCGUAUCGACCCGCGCAGUGCUGUAGCUAACGCGUUAAGUAUCCCGCCUGGGGAGUACGUUCGCAAGAAUGAAACUCAAAGGAAUUGACGGGGGCCCGCACAAGCGGUGGAGCAUGUGGUUCAAUUCGAUGCAAAGCGAAGAACCUUACCAGGGCUUGACAUGCCGUGAAUCCUCCCGAAAGAGAGGAGUGCCUUCGGGAACGCGGACACAGGUGGUGCAUGGCUGUCGU
rnacentral:rRNA from 1 species